CACUAGCCGAAGAUUUGGGUUCCCGGAGCAUGGUGGAUGACUCUUGAGGUCUGGAACUGCAGCCCCAGCUAAAAAAGAGGCUGUUGCGAUCAUCUUGAUUUACUUCACACGCAAAUGGAAGAGAAGCGGCACCUCCAGGAAGGAAGAGGAUGCAGGCAGCAAGGCGCUGAACAGUCAGCCCCAGGAGGAGACCGAGCACACAGGCUGUACGGAGCAAUCAGCCCCCCCCUCUGGAAUGCCGGCUGGCUAAGUAUCGCUUCCUGGUUAACCCCUGCACCCCUAUUCCUGCUGCCCUGAUACACUUGCAGCACAGAACCCCUAAUAUGCUGCCCUGCCUCAGCAUGAACCCCUGCUGAGACCCUGGCAGACCUCUUCAGUAGUAACCCCCUCACUGCCAGUCCCCUGUUAACCCCUUCAGUACCCUGUUCCCCUACUCUGCCCUGAGACCCCUGCAUUCUGCCCUGCAAGUCCCUGCAGAGCAUUAACUCCUACAUUACCCUGUGUUCCUUGGUCUGCAGGCAUUAACCCCUGCAGUGCCACAAUUGUGUGAUUAACCCUCGUCAUACCCCAUAGGGAUAGUAUAGAACCAGGUGGGUGGGUUGCUAAUAUUCGUAUGUGUGUAUGAUGUAUAGUUAGUUUAUAGGUGGACAUUGGGAAUUGUGUAGUGUAGUUUAGUAUUGUAUAUUUAGUGCUGUAUUGUUAGUGUAUUGCGUGCUUAGUGUGUUAGGCAUUAA